rnacentral:lncRNA from 1 species
AUUAAUUGAAUUGUUUUGGUAUGGAUUUGAUGAUGAUCAUUCUGUUUGGUCUUUUGAAGUUGCAAAUUGCAUGUUUGGUGCCUUUUUAUGCAUGAAAUGAUAGUGGUGAAUGAUAUGAGCAUGGGACCAAUGGGAUUUGUUUCUAAAUUGUUUAAUUGUGAUUUUGGAUAAUUUUCACUUGCUGUUUUGAUUUUUUCAUCUCCUUUGGACCCUAGGCUUGGCCUAGUGGUCUUGUUUCUCAUGUUUGGUUUGGAUUUUCAGGUUGAGAUGCAAGUGGUUUAAGGAGAUUGCUUCAAGUUGAUUAAGUUGACUUGUGAAUUGUUUAUGAUUAACAUUGACUUUGUGUUGUAGGGUUUGAUGCUUGAGUUUGAGCUCAUGGCUUGCACUUGUGUGCAUUAACUUGUGUUUGACUGUUCAGAUUGACUUUUG